rnacentral:rRNA from 1 species
UGAGGAAUAUUGGUCAAUGGGCGGAAGCCUGAACCAGCCAAGUCGCGUGAGGGAAGAAGGCCCUGCGGGUCGCAGACCUCUUUGGACGGGGAGCAAGGCCGCCGACGUGUCGGCGGAAGGAGAGUACCCGUAGAACAAGCAUCGGCUAACUCCGUGCC